AUUGAACGCUGGCGGAAUGCUUUACACAUGCAAGUCGAACGGCAGCACGGAGAGCUUGCUCUCUGGUGGCGAGUGGCGAACGGGUGAGUAAUAUAUCGGAACGUGUCCAAUAAUGGGGGAUAACGAGUCGAAAGAUUCGCUAAUACCGCAUACGCCCUACGGGGGAAAGCAGGGGAUCGUAAGACCUUGCGUUAAUGGAGCGGCCGAUAUCUGAUUAGCUUGUUGGUGAGGUAAAGGCUCACCAAGGCGACGAUCAGUAGCUGGUUUGAGAGAACGACCAGCCACACUGGAACUGAGACACGGUCCAGACUCCUACGGGAGGCAGCAGUGGGGAAUUUUGGACAAUGGGGGCAACCCUGAUUCAGCCAUUCCGCGUGAGUGAAGAAGGCCUUCGGGUUGUAAAGCUCUUUCGCAAGGGAAGAAAACUUAUGAUCGAAUAAAUCAUGAGGUUGACGGUACCUUGAUAAGAAGCACCGGCUAACUACGUGCCAGCAGCCGCAGUAA
rnacentral:rRNA from 1 species